AACGAACACAGUUAAGGUGGUUCAGGCAUCUGGUUAGGCUGCUUGCUGGGUAAGCCCCUUUGGAGGUUUUCCCAGGCAUGCCCAACUGGGAAGAGACACUGGGGUAGACCCAGAGCUCAUUGGAGACAAAAUGCUCAUCUGGUCUGGGAACACCUCAGGAUCCCCCAGGAGGAAAUGCAAAGUGUUGCUGGGGAGAAGGACUUCUAGAAUUCCCUUUUUAGCCUGCAGUGACGAAAACUCAAGUUCAGAUAAGUGGAAGAUGGAUGGAUUCCCAGUUUAUGAGUUUGUGUCACAUUUCAUAGUUGUGUUUAAAUGUCUGUUUAGCACACAUUAAAGCUGGACUAGUGUGACUAGUGUGACUGUUUAAAGUUCACAAUAGCUCCAGUAAAUGGCUCCAGUUAUACUGGCAAAAGAAAAAUGUGUUGACAUGUUUUGGUAAGAUAUUAAAGUAUUCUCAUUAGUCUUUAUCACCCACUCUGGCUCUUCCAAUGUCAAGGGUAUGUGAGAAUCUUCCCUGAGUAGCAGGUGUGAUAAUUGAGACUAUAAGGUGAACCAGGCUAGACUGUAGGCUAGACAACGUGUGUGUGGAUGAGAAGUAAGUCACAGUCGAUAAGGAUUUUUGCUGUGGGAUAAGCUUGGAAGACUUGACGAAAUUUGUCUUGACAAAUUGCUUCCAUUGGCCUAAAACAAGUUCCCAACAUUCUUGGAGGUGACGAAAUGUCUUAUUUCCUAAGGCAAUAAGAGUUACAUUACCACAUCUACCAGGAACUGCAAGAAGGUGUCAGUGAAAUAUGUGGCUUAAGGAUUUGGCAUAAAUGUUGCAGUGCUGAGAUUCAAAUGGAUGCUAUUUUAAAGACGUGUAAUUUUAUAAUUCACAAAACUACUAUGCAAGUGUUUUUUCUUUGUGGAUACUUACAAAGUUUAGUUCAGCCUUAACCCAACUUUAUUUUAUGUCUACAUGACUGGGAGAAAGACAGUAGAAGAGUAAAGGCAGAGGAUGAAUAGAGCCAGCAAGAGUGAUGGAAGAUGGUCACUGAAGAUGAGCCAUGGGGGAGUGAUCAAUGGAGGCUGAACAGCAAAAGACAAGCCAGUCAAGAUGUCAAGGCUGUACUCGGUGGUGCGGCCAACAAAGAUGAAUGAUCUUAUACGAGAGACGACUCUGAGGUCAGGCUGAUAUUGUCAUAGCACUGACUUUUUAGUUUGAUUACCAUCGACCUGCCUCACUGGAGAAUGUAUUGACUGAGAAUGUGAAUGAGCUAUCUUGGAUAUUUAUGACCGCACUUCAUUCAUGCAUUCCUGAUGCUGAAGAAAAGGCCAAAGACAAAAAUGAAAUUGCUCAAUGAAUUGCCUAAACUUUCUGAGAAUCUGUUUUUGUGUGAUGAAAUUUGUUUCUUGCAUUUCUGUCUUCAUUUGAAAACAAUUACUUGUGUAUGAAUGUAAUUCUGCAUAAAUGACCGUAUGUUGAAUUA